GGGGGCGAUCGGCUUCGACGGGGGCUACGAGAUUUGGGUUGCGCGUCGAGGGUCUUACCAACCUCGUAAAUCCUGGUGGGAACUCACAACUGCCAACGAUAACGUUGAAGCGGAAGAGUUCUUCGCGGUUGCUGCGUUAGAUUAAUCUCUAACGUCAGUCCGUGAGGCGGUGAGCGCGAGUUGGUCGCGUCUCGUGCUCGCCGUAUAGAUCGCGGCUGGUUUCAGGCAGGGUGCUCCGGGCCUGAGACGAGAAAAAGGGGCACUAUCCUGGGGCGAGCCUGUCGGUGGGCGCUAACCAGGUGAUAUUAAAUCAUCCGACUACACGCGUAGACGCUCAGACGACGUACCUUCGGACCCGGGUUCGAUUCCCGGCGCCUCCACUG
rnacentral:tmRNA from 1 species